UACGAGGGGGGCAAGCGUUGUUCGGAAUUAUUGGGCGUAAAGGGUGCGUAGGCGGUCCGGUAAGUCUCCAGUGAAAUCUAUGGGCUCAACCCAUAGCCUGCUGGGGAAACUGCCGGGCUUGAGUGUGGGAGAGGUGAGUGGAAUUCCCGGUGUAGCGGUGAAAUGCGUAGAUAUCGUCUGGAACGCCAAAGGUGAAAACAGCUCGCUGGGGUUGUGCUGACGCUGAGACACGAAAGCCAGGGGAGCGAACGGG
rnacentral:rRNA from 1 species